GAAAGCAUAAGCUAAGUGGUAUAGCGUGGGAUUGCAGAUCCUAAGGUCACGUGUUCGAACCACGUUGCGACCU